rnacentral:rRNA from 1 species
GACGAACGCUGGCGGCGUGCUUAACACAUGCAAGUCGAACGGAAAGGCCCUGCUUUUGUGGGGUGCUCGAGUGGCGAACGGGUGAGUAACACGUGAGUAACCUGCCCUUGACUUUGGGAUAACUUCAGGAAACUGGGGCUAAUACAGGAUAGGAGCUCCUGCUGCAUGGUGGGGGUUGGAAAGUUUCGGCGGUUGGGGAUGGACUCGCGGCUUAUCCGCUUGUUGGUGGGGUAGUGGCUUACCAAGGCUUUGACGGGUAGCCGGCCUGAGAGGGUGACCGGCCACAUUGGGACUGAGAUACGGCCCAGACUCCUACGGGAGGCAGCAGUGGGGAAUAUUGCACAAUGGGCGGAAGCCUGAUGCAGCAACGCCGCGUGCGGGAUGACGGCCUUCGGGUUGUAAACCGCUUUCGCCUGUGACGAAGCGUGAGUGACGGUAAUGGGUAAAGAAGCACCGGCUAACUACGUG